AUUGAACGCUGGCGGCAGGCCUAACACAUGCAAGUCGAGCGGAUGAAGGGAGCUUGCUCCUGGAUUCAGCGGCGGACGGGUGAGUAAUGCCUAGGAAUCUGCCUGGUAGUGGGGGAUAACGUCCGGAAACGGGCGCUAAUACCGCAUACGUCCUGAGGGAGAAAGUGGGGGAUCUUCGGACCUCACGCUAUCAGAUGAGCCUAGGUCGGCUUAGCUAGUUGGUGGGGUAAAGGCCUACCAAGGGGACGAUCCGUAACUGGUCUGAGAGGAUGAUCAGUCACACUGGAGCUGAGACACGGUCCAGACUCCUACGGGAGGCAGCAGUGGGGAAUAUUGGACAAUGGGCGAAAGCCUGAUCCAGCCAUGCCGCGUGUGUGAAGAAGGUCUUCGGAUUGUAAAGCACUUUAAGUUGGGAGGAAGGGCAGUAAGUUAAUACCUUGCUGUUUUGACGUUACCAACAGAAUAAGCACCGGCUAACUUCGU
rnacentral:rRNA from 1 species